rnacentral:misc_RNA from 1 species
GAAAUGCGAUAAGUAAUGUGAAUUGCAGAAUUCCGUGAAUCAUCGAAUCUUUGAACGCACAUUGCGCCCUCUGGCAUUCCGGGGGGCAUGCCUGUCCGAGCGUCAUUACGCACCCUCAAGCCCGGCUUGUGUGAUGGGCCCCGGCGUCUCGUUCGCGAGACGGGCCCGAAAGGCAGCGGCGGCGUCGACCCGAUGAGACCGAGCGUAUGGGGACUUCUGUCACACGUUCGCGGUGCGGACCGGCGCCUGCUUGACUUUUCUGAUUAUCCAGGUUGACCUCGGAUCAGGUAGGGAUACCCGCUGAACUUAAGC